UAUCCUUCUCUACAAGAACAUGUCAUCGUUCUGAGAGGUAAAGUAUUAUAAACUCUACAUUCAGCAUUUUCAACACAAGGUCUGAAAGAUAGACAUGGAUUUUGGCAUUCUCGAUCAAUACAAGCCUCUUGGCUAGGACAAUCUUUGUCCAUUUGACAACCCUCUACUUCAACAGGCUACUCCAUAGGCAUUGCCAGUAUAAUCAGAUAAGCAAGUACAUAUUCCUCUGUGAUUUCGAGCAUCGCAUUCAGCAUAUUUUGCACAUUGACAAGGAUCCACACACUUUUCAUUUUUACAAGUGAGAUGAUCAGGACAGUCAGGAUCGUAGAGACACUCGUAUGGUUUGCAAUGAACAUAUGGAUUACCUUUAUGUCCUUUCUUACAUUUACACAUGGCUCUAUGACUUUUUGGGCUGCAUUCAGCGUUAACACCACACUCGUCAUAUAAGCAUGGAUUUUGACAUUCUCGGCUAAUGCAAGCUUUAUCGAAUGGGCAUUCAAUAUCACUUUUACAUCCAGCUGUCAGUAUAAAAACCACAUAUAAAAACAUUAUCAAUAUGACUGUUUGGUAACUAAGUUAGUAUAAGUUUUGAAUAACUUACGUUCUUCACAGAUUUGAUAAGGAUCUCCGUCAUAACCAGCAAUGCACACACAAAUUGCUCUAUGACUUUUGACAUUACAUUUAGCAUUUAUACCACAAGUUGAUGUACUACACGGCGUUUUGCAUGAUUGAUGAAUACACGCUAAAUCAGAAGGACAGUCAUCGUCAACAAGGCACUCCGGUUCUGAUGCUGAAAUAUAAUAUGUUCCAUGAAAUGUAUCUAUAAGCAAUUUCUAGAAUUUUAACUCGACUUACGUAAUUCACAACUUGUCUGGGGACUACCAAUGUAGCCAUCAGAACAAGUGCAAACUGGUUCAUGAUAAAUAACCCUGCAUUUUGCAUUUUUAACACAUGGAUCGUUUACACAAGGGUCUAUACAUAAUCUAUUAUGGCAUGCAUUGUAACUGGGGCAAUCUGUAUCUAUAGUACAUCCGGCAGUGAGAGAAGGUUCGAUAGUAAUAGGAGCUGAUAUUAAAAAAUAAAUUGUAAAAGUGAGAAAUAAUAUACCUUUGCAACAACACAAUCAAAAAAUCUUACCGUGCAAGCAUGCAUCAUGAGGAUCACCUACAAAAUUUGGUAAACAUUCACAUGCAAAGCUGUGAUCAAAAGAUUUACACACAGCAUUAUCCCCACACCUGAAAACAAGACAUGCAGUUAUACAAGUUCCUGUGUGACAAACUUCACUUGAUCGGCAAUCUGAACUAUCAUAGCAUUGAGGUUGUGGUGUAACUGAAAAUAAUCAAAUUUACAAAUUUAUAUAUAAUUAUAAAAAACCAAUCGAAUAUGAAUAUAUGUUUCUAAACAUU
rnacentral:lncRNA from 1 species